GACGAACGCUGGCGGCGUGCUUAACACAUGCAAGUCGAACGGAAAGGCCCUGCUUUUGUGGGGUGCUCGAGUGGCGAACGGGUGAGUAACACGUGAGUAACCUGCCCUUGACUUUGGGAUAACUUCAGGAAACUGGGGCUAAUACCGGAUAGGAGCUCCUGCUGCAUGGUGGGGGUUGGAAAGUUUCGGCGGUUGGGGAUGGACUCGCGGCCUAUCAGCUUGUUGGUGGGGUAGUGGCUUACCAAGGCUUUGACGGGUAGCCGGCCUGAGAGGGUGACCGGCCACAUUGGGACUGAGAUACGGCCCAGACUCCUACGGGAGGCAGCAGUGGGGAAUAUUGCACAAUGGGCGGAAGCCUGAUGCAGCAACGCCGCGUGCGGGAUGACGGCCUUCGGGUUGUAAACCGCUUUCGCCUGUGACGAAGCGUGAGUGACGGUAGUGGGUAAAGAAGCACCGGCUAACUACGUG
rnacentral:rRNA from 1 species